GGCUCAGAUUGAACGCUGGCGGCAUGCUUUACACAUGCAAGUCGGACGGCAGCACAGAGAAGCUUGCUUCUUGGGUGGCGAGUGGCGAACGGGUGAGUAACAUAUCGGAACGUACCGAGUAAUGGGGGAUAACUAAUCGAAAGAUUAGCUAAUACCGCAUAUUCUCUGAGGAGGAAAGCAGGGGACCUUCGGGCCUUGCGUUAUUCGAGCGGCCGAUAUCUGAUUAGCUAGUUGGUGGGGUAAAGGCCUACCAAGGCGACGAUCAGUAGCGGGUCUGAGAGGAUGAUCCGCCACACUGGGACUGAGACACGGCCCAGACUCCUACGGGAGGCAGCAGUGGGGAAUUUUGGACAAUGGGCGCAAGCCUGAUCCAGCCAUGCCGCGUGUCUGAAGAAGGCCUUCGGGUUGUAAAGGACUUUUGUCAGGGAAGAAAAGGCUGUCGCUAAUACCGACAGUUGAUGACGGUACCUGAAGAAUAAGCACCGGCUAACUACGUG
rnacentral:rRNA from 1 species